rnacentral:tRNA from 1 species
GCCUCGUUAGCGUAGUUGGAUUAUCGCAUCUGUCUAAUAAACAGAAGGUCACCGGUUCGAGCCCAGUACGGGGCA